rnacentral:rRNA from 1 species
AGCGAACGCUGGCGGCAGGCCUAACACAUGCAAGUCGAACGGACCUUUCGGGGUUAGUGGCGGAAGGGUGAGUAACACGUGGGAACGUGAAUUUAGGUUCGGAAUAGCCACAGGAAACGGGUGGUAAUGUGGAAUGUGCCCUUCGUGGGAAAGAUUUAUCGCCUUAAGAGCGGCCCGCGUCUGAUUAGCUAUUUGAUGAGGUAAUGGCUCACCAAGGUUACGAUUAGUAGCUGGUCUGAGAGGAUGACCAGCCACAUUGGGACUGAGACACGGCCCAAACUCCUACGGGGGGCAGCAGUGGGGAAUCUUGCGCAAUGGUCGAAAGCCUGACGCAGCCAUGCCGCGUUGAUGAUGAAGGUCUUAGGAUUGUAAAAUCCUUUCACCGGUGAAGAUAAUGACUGUAGCCGGAGAAGAAGCCCCGGCUAACUUCGUGCCAGCCGCCGCAGUAAGAC